rnacentral:rRNA from 1 species
GACGAACGCUGGCGGCGUGCUUAACACAUGCAAGUCGAGCGGUAAGGCCCUUUCGGGGUACGACGAGCGGCGAACGGGUGAGUAACACGUGGGUGACCUGCCCUCAGCUCUGGGAUAAGCCUGGGAAACCGGGUCGUAAUACCGGAUAUGACUCCAUGACGCAUGUUGUGGGGUGGAAAGCCUUGUGCGGCUGAGGAUGGGCCCGCGGCCUAUCAGCUUGUUGGUGGGGUGAUGGCCUACCAAGGCGACGACGGGUAGCCGGCCUGAGAGGGCGACCGGCCACACUGGGACUGAGACACGGCCCAGACUCCUACGGGAGGCAGCAGUGGGGAACUNUUGCGCAAUGGGCGAAAGCCUGACGCAGCGACGCCGCGUGA